AAUAAAGGGUUAUUUUGAUAGAAUAAAUUAUAUAAUAAAAAUUAUUUUCAUUAAAUUUAAAUAUUAUAUAUAU
rnacentral:tRNA from 1 species